GUACAUCCAGAGAACUUAGCAGAGAUGCUUGGUGCCUUCGGGAACUCUGAGACAGGUGCUGCAUGGCUGUCGUCAGCUCGUGUUGUGAAAUGUUGGGUUAAGUCCCGNAACGAGCGCAACCCUUAUCCUUUGUUGCCAGCGGUUCGGCCGGGAACUCAAAGGAGACUGCCGGUGAUAAACCGGAGGAAGGUGGGGAUGACGUCAAGUCAUCAUGGCCCUUACGGCCAGGGCUACACACGUGCUACAAUGGCGCAUACAAAGAGAAGCGACCUCGCGAGAGCAAGCGGACCUCAUAAAGUGCGUCGUAGUCCGGAUUGGAGUCUGCAACUCGACUCCAUGAAGUCGGAAUCGCUAGUAAUCGUAGAUCAGAAUGCUACGGUGAAUACGUUCCCGGGCCUUGUACACACCGCCCGUCACACCAUGGGAGUGGGUUGCAAAAGAAGUAGGUAGCUUAACCUUCGGGAGGGCGCUUACCACUUUGUGAUUCAUGACUGGGGUGAAGUCGUAACAAGGUAAGCGUAGCGAG
rnacentral:rRNA from 1 species